rnacentral:rRNA from 1 species
AAAUUGAAGAGUUUGAUCAUGGCUCAGAUUGAACGCUGGCGGCAGGCCUAACACAUGCAAGUCGAACGGUAACAGGAAGCAGCUUGCUGCUUUGCUGACGAGUGGCGGACGGGUGAGUAAUGUCUGGGAAACUGCCUGAUGGAGGGGGAUAACUACUGGAAACGGUAGCUAAUACCGCAUAACGUCGCAAGACCAAAGAGGGGGACCUUCGGGCCUCUUGCCAUCGGAUGUGCCCAGAUGGGAUUAGCUUGUUGGUGGGGUAACGGCUCACCAAGGCGACGAUCCCUAGCUGGUCUGAGAGGAUGACCAGCCACACUGGAACUGAGACACGGUCCAGACUCCUACGGGAGGCAGCAGUGGGGAAUAUUGCACAAUGGGCGCAAGCCUGAUGCAGCCAUGCCGCGUGUAUGAAGAAGGCCUUCGGGUUGUAAAGUACUUUCAGCGGGGAG